GAUGAAGAACGCAGCGAAAUGCGAUAAGUAAUGUGAAUUGCAGAAUUCAGUGAAUCAUCGAAUCUUUGAACGCACAUUGCGCCCAUUAGUAUUCUAGUGGGCAUGCCUGUUCGAGCGUCAUUAAGUCCACUUAAGCCCUGCUUAGUGUUGGGAGACUGCUCCAGCGGUGCUACCCUGUAGCUACCCUGCAGCUCCUCAAAGACAGCGGCGGAGUUGUGGUAUCCUCUGAGCUUAGUAACUUGUUCUAGCUUUCGAGUACACCACUUCCCCUGCCGUAAAACCCUUGAUUUUUAAUGGUUGACCUCGGAUCAGGUAGGAAUACCCGCUGAACUUAAGCAUAUCAAUAAGCGGAGGA
rnacentral:misc_RNA from 1 species